rnacentral:rRNA from 1 species
CAGCAGCCGCGGUAAUACAGAGGGUGCGAGCGUUAAUCGGAUUUACUGGGCGUAAAGCGUGCGUAGGCGGCUUCUUAAGUCGGAUGUGAAAUCCCUGAGCUUAACUUAGGAAUUGCAUUCGAUACUGGGAAUCUAGAGUAUGGGAGAGGAUGGUAGAAUUCCAGGUGUAGCGGUGAAAUGCGUAGAGAUCUGGAGGAAUACCGAUGGCGAAGGCAGCCAUCUGGCCUAAUACUGACGCUGAGGUACGAAAGCAUGGGGAGCAAACAGGAUUAGAUACCCCGGUAGUCCCUGUCUCUUAUAA